rnacentral:rRNA from 1 species
GACGAACGCUGGCGGCGUGCCUAAUACAUGCCAGUAGAACGCACAGUUUAUACCGUAGCUUGCUACACCAUAAACUGUGAGUUGCGAACGGGUGAGUAACGCGUAGGUAACCUGCCUGGUAGCGGGGGAUAACUAUUGGAAACGAUAGCUAAUACCGCAUAAUAUUAAUUAUUGCAUGAUAAUUGAUUGAAAGAUGCAAUUGCAUCACUACCAGAUGGACCUGCGUUGUAUUAGCUAGUAGGUGAGGUAACGGCUCACCUAGGCGACGAUACAUAGCCGACCUGAGAGGGUGCUCGGCCACCCUGGGACUGAGACACGGCCCAGACUCCUACGGGAGGCAGCAGUAGGGAAUCUUCGGCAAUGGACGAAAGUCUGACCGAGCAACGCCGCGUGAGUGAAGAAGGUUUUCGGAUCGUAAAGCUCUGUUGUAAGAGAAGAACGGGUGUGAGAGUGGAAAGUUCACACUGUGACGGUAUCUUACCAGAAAGGGACGGCUAACUACGUG